rnacentral:rRNA from 1 species
AAGGUAGCGAAAUUCCUUGUCGGGUAAGUUCCGACCUGCACGAAUGGCGUAACGAUCUCCACACUGUCUCGGCCAGAGACUCGGUGAAAUUGAAGUCGCGGUGAAAAUGCCGUGUACCCGCAGAAAGACGGAAAGACCCUGUGCACCUUUACUAUAGCUUGACAUUGGGAUUUGAGCCUGCAUGUGUAGCAUAGGUGGGAGCCUGUGAACUCUGUACGCCAGUAUGGAGGGAGCCAACGUUGAAAUACCACCCUUGUUUGUUCAGGUCCCUAACUCUUCGCCGUUACCCGGUAAGAGGACAGUGUCUGGUGGGUAGUUUGACUGGGGCGGUCGCCUCCCAAAAUGUAACGGAGGCAUGCAAAGGUUCCCUCAGGCUGAUUGGAAACCAGCCGUCGAGUGCAAACGCAAAAGGGAGCUUGACUGCAAGAGAGACAUCUCGAGCAGGUACGAAAGUAGGUGUUAGUGAUCCGGUGAUCCCGAAUGGAAGGGUCAUCGCUCAUUGGAUAAAAGGUACGCCGGGGAUAACAGGCUGAUCGCAUCCAAGAGUUCACAUCGACGAUGCGGUUUGGCACCUCGAUGUCGGCUCAUCACAUCCUGGGGCUGAAGCAGGUCCCAAGGGUACGGCUGUUCGCCGUUUAAAGUGGUACGCGAGCUGGGUUUAAAACGUCGUGAGACAGUUUGGUCCCUAUCUUCUGUGGGCGUAGGAGAAUUGAAAGGGCCUGUCCCUAGUACGAGAGGACCGGGAUGGACACACCACUGGUGGACCUGUUGUCGUGCCAACGGCACAGCAGGGUAGCUAUGUGUGGAAGGGAUAACCGCUGAAAGCAUCUAAGCGGGAAGCCUGCCUUAAGAUAAGUUCUCCCUGACGCAAGUCCUGAAGGGCCGAGGUAGACGACCUCGUUGAUAGGCUGGAGGUGGAAGCCCUGUGAGGGGUGGAGCUGACCAGUACUAAUAGCCCGUGCGUCUUGUUUUC